rnacentral:ncRNA from 2 species
ACGCCUGCUCCGGGGUGCACGUAAUGGCGUGCUGAGAUGGCGGACCUGACCGCCGGAACCGCGAACUUGAUCUGGUUAGUACCAGCGAAAGAAGAGCUGCAGCUGAAAUG